rnacentral:rRNA from 1 species
GGCGGUGGACAACAAACCAAAUGGGAUUCUUCAAGUAAUGGCGAAUGAACUUAGAUGUGCUCAAUUUGAAAAAUGCAGUACUGCUGCUUGACGUGUAAUUUCAAAAUGUAUGACCAAGUGGCAUGCAAAUGGAAGCUCAUUGAAAGACUGUAUCAAAGAGGGUGAAAAUCCUUAUUUUCCACUUGCAUUGCUAUUGUUAUGGUGUAUGCUUCAUGAGUCACAUUCCUUGGCAUUGGAAUGCCACAUGUGUGGUAAAUUUCAUACAAAGAUCAAUAUGUGGUUGAGAUUGAUAGAACACAAGUACCAUGAGGGAAAUAUGAAAAGGACUUUGAAAAGAGAUUUAAAAGAGUUUGCAGUUGCUGAACAAAAAACAAAUGGGAUGUCCUGUAUUGAACAGAUUGUUGUGCCAUGCAUUGUAUCAGUGCAACCAUGUGUGUAAUCAAUGAGUCUUGUCUUUGAGUGCCAUGCCAAGUUUAGGUAAUCUUGACCGAUGCAUAUGUGUGCUGGUGUGCUUGUGAAUGCAUGAAAGUGUAUGAUUGACCUUGGUUUUCUAAAUGUGCAAGCUGCGUGAGGUUGCAAGCUGCUGAUGUUGAUAUUUAUGUGUGAAUUGUGUGAUGAGCCAUGUUUGACUUUUGCAUCUUAGUGGGUGCAUGUCUGC